CAGCCGCCGCGGUAAAACCAGCACCUCAAGUGGUCAGGAUGAUUAUUGGGCCUAAAGCAUCCGUAGCCGGCUCUGUAAGUUUUCGGUUAAAUCUGUACGCUCAACGUACAGGCUGCCGGGAAUACUGCAGAGCUAGGGAGUGGGAGAAGUAGACGGUACUCGGUAGGAAGUGGUAAAAUCCUUUGAUCUAUUGAUGACCACCUGUGGCGAAGGCGGUCUACCAGAACACGUCCGACGGUGAGGGAUGAAAGCUGGGGGAGCAAACCGGAUUAGAUACCCGGGUCGUCCCAGCUGUAAACUAUGCAAACUCAGUGAUGCAUUGGCUUGUGGCCAAUGCAGUGCUGCAGGGAAGCCGUUAAGUUUGCCGCCUGGGAAGUACGUACGCAAGUAUGAAACUUAAAGGAAUUGGCGGGGGAGCAC
rnacentral:rRNA from 2 species